rnacentral:rRNA from 1 species
ACUCCUACGGGAGGCAGCAGUGGGGAAUUUUGGACAAUGGGCGCAAGCCUGAUCCAGCAAUGCCGCGUGAGUGAAGAAGGCCUUCGGGUUGUAAAGCUCUUUCAGUCGAGAAGAAAAAGCUGCAGUGAAUAACUGUAGUUCAUGACGGUAUCGACAGAAGAAGCACCGGCUAACUACGUGCCAGCAGCCGCGGUAAU